rnacentral:rRNA from 1 species
UGGGGAAUAUUGCACAAUGGGCGAAAGCCUGAUGCAGCAACGCCGCGUGAGGGACGACGGCCUUCGGGUUGUAAACCUCUUUUAGCAAGGAAGAAGCGAAAGUGACGGUACUUGCAGAAAAAGCGCCGGCUAACUACGUGCCAGCAGCCGCGGUAAUACGUAGGGCGCAAGCGUUAUCCGGAAUUAUUGGGCGUAAAGAGCUCGUAGGCGGUUUGUCGCGUCUGCUGUGAAAACCCGAGGCUCAACCUCGGGCCUGCAGUGGGUACGGGCAGGCUAGAGUGCGGUAGGGGAGAUUGGAACUCCUGGUGUAGCGGUGGAAUGCGCAGAUAUCAGGAAGAACACCGAUGGCGAAGGCAGAUCUCUGGGCCGUAACUGACGCUGAGGAGCGAAAGGGUGGGGAGCAAAACAGGCUUAGAUACCCUGGUAGUCCACCCCGUAAACGUUGGGAACUAGUUGUGGGUCCAUUCCACGGAUUCCGUGACGCAGCUAACGCAUUAAGUUCCCCGCCUGGGGAGUACGGCCGCAAGGCUAAAACUUAAAGGAAUUGACGGGGUCAUAGCUGUUUCC